rnacentral:rRNA from 1 species
AUUGAACGCUGGCGGCAGGCCUAACACAUGCAAGUCGAGCGGAUGAAGGGAGCUUGCUCCUGGAUUCAGCGGCGGACGGGUGAGUAAUGCCUAGGAAUCUGCCUGGUAGUGGGGGAUAACGUCCGGAAACGGGCGCUAAUACCGCAUACGUCCUGAGGGAGAAAGUGGGGGAUCUUCGGACCUCACGCUAUCAGAUGAGCCUAGGUCGGAGUAGCUAGUUGGUGGGGUAAAGGCCUACCAAGGCGACGAUCCGUAACUGGUCUGAGAGGAUGAUCAGUCACAAUGGAACUGAGACACGGUCCAGACUCCUACGGGAGGCAGCAGUGGGGAAUAUUGGACCAUGGGCGAAAGCCUGAUCCAGCCAUGCCGCGUGUGUGAAGAAGGUCUUCGGAUUGUAAAGCACUUUAAGUUGGGAGGAAGGGCAGUAAGUUAAUACCUUGCUGUUUUGACGUUACCAACAGAAUAAGCCCCGGCUAACUUCGUG